rnacentral:rRNA from 1 species
GACGAACGCUGGCGGCGUGCCUAAUACAUGCAAGUCGAACGCAGUGGGGACGGGGGAGUAACACGUGGGUAACCUCCCAUCAGAGGGGAUAACCCUUGGAAACAGGUGCUAAACCGAUACUGAUGGAUGGACCCGCGGUGCAUUAGCUAGUUGGUGAGGUAACGGCUCACCAAGGCCACGAUGCAUAGCGGACCUGAGAGGGUGAUCAGCCACACUGGGACUGAGACACGGCCCAGAAUCCUACGGGAGGCAGCAGGAGGGAAGAUUGGACAAUGGACGAAAGUCUGACCGAGCAACGCCGCGUGAGUGAAGAAGGUGUUCGGAUCGUAAAACACUUUUGGUAGAGAAGCGGUAUCUAACCAGAAAGCCACGGCUAACUACGUGCCAGCAGCCGCGGUAAUAC